AAUAGGAGUUCCCCUGCACAAGCUCUCUUGCCUGCUGCUAAGUAACACGUGACUUUGUUCCUCAUUCGCCUUCCACCAUGAUUGUGAGCUUCUUGAGGCCUUCCUAGAAGCCAAGCAGAUACCAGCAGCAUGCUUCCUGUAAAGACUGCAGAACUGUGACCCAAUUAAACUUAUUUUCCUUAUAAAUUA